rnacentral:rRNA from 1 species
GGCUAACACAUGCAAGUCGAACGGCAGCACAGGAGAGCUUGCUCUCUGGGUGGCGAGUGGCGGACGGGUGAGGAAUACAUCGGAAUCUACCUUUUCGUGGGGGAUAACGUAGGGAAACUUACGCUAAUACCGCAUACGACCUACGGGUGAAAGUGGGGGACCGCAAGGCCUCACGCGAUUAGAUGAGCCGAUGUCCGAUUAGCUAGUUGGCGGGGUAAUGGCCCACCAAGGCGACGAUCGGUAGCUGGUCUGAGAGGAUGAUCAGCCACACUGGAACUGAGACACGGUCCAGACUCCUACGGGAGGCAGCAGUGGGGAAUAUUGGACAAUGGGCGCAAGCCUGAUCCAGCCAUACCGCGUGGGUGAAGAAGGCCUUCGGGUUGUAAAGCCCUUUUGUUGGGAAAGAAAUCCUGUCGAUUAAUACUCGGUGGGGAUGACGGUACCCAAAGAAUAAGCACCGGCUAACUUCGUGCCAGCAGCCGCGGUAAUACGAAGGGUGCAAGCGUUACUCGGAAUUACUGGGCGUAAAGCGUGCGUAGGUGGUGGUUUAAGUCUGCUGUGAAAGCCCUGGGCUCAACCUGGGAAUUGCAGUGGAUACUGGAUCACUAGAGUGUGGUAGAGGGAUGCGGAAUUUCUGGUGUAGCAGUGAAAUGCGUACAGAUCAGAAGGAACAUCCGUGGCGAAGGCGGCAUCCUGGGCCAACACUGACACUGAGGCACGAAAGCGCGGGGAGCAAACAGGAUUAGAUACCCUGGUAGUCCACGCCC